rnacentral:RNase_P_RNA from 1 species
AGAGUAAGUUGUUUGAUCGCGUGCUAUAUGCAUGAGGAAAGUCCGUGCUCCAUAGAGCAAGAUGCUGGAUAACGUCCAGUGGGGGUGACCCUAAGGAUAGUGCAACAGAGAGAUACCACCUAUUUUUAAUAGGUAAGGGUGGAAAGGUGAGGUAAGAGCUUACCAGCAUUUAGGUGACUAAAUGGCUAUGUAAACCCCAUCUGGAGCAAGACCAAAAGGGAACAGAAAAGGUGGUUGCUCGCUACCGUUCCAAUGGUAGGUCGCAUGAAUCUACUGGCAACAGUAGAUCUAGAUAGAUGAUCAAAUAAACAGAACACGGCUUAUAGAUUUACUCUUAGU